rnacentral:rRNA from 1 species
UACAGAGGGUGCAAGCGUUAAUCGGAAUUACUGGGCGUAAAGCGAGCGUAGUCGGUUAUUUAAGUCGGGUGUGAAAGCCCCGGGCUCAACCUGGGAAUUGCAUUCGAUACUGGAUAGCUAGAGUUCGGCAGAGGGAAGCGGAAUUUCCGGUGUAGCGGUGAAAUGCGUAGAUAUCAGGAGGAACACCUGUGGUGUAGACAGCUUACUGGACCACUUCUGACGCUGAGACACGAAAGCGUGGGUAGCAAACAGG